UAUGGUGUUUUUAAAAGUAGACUAGGGUAUUCAAUAUGGGGUAUGUCCAGUCUUUUUUAGUAGCCACUUAGUCAGAAACACUGGCCAAAGUUAGCAUUUAUAUUUGUUUGGGUGUUAAAAAUGCAAAAAACAAUUAUGAAUGCUAACUUUGGCCAGUGUUUGUGACUAAGUGGCUACUAAAAAAUACUGAACAUACCCCAUUUGCAAUACCUUGGGUUGUCUUCUUUUGCAAAUGGUAUG